rnacentral:misc_RNA from 1 species
GAUGAAGACGUAGCGAAAUGCGAUAAGUAAUGUGAAUUGCAGAAUUCAGUGAAUCAUCGAAUCUUUGAACGCACAUUGCGCCCAUUAGCAUUCUAGUGGGCAUGCCUGUUCGAGCGUCAUUUCAACCCUUAAGCCCUGUUGCUUAGCGUUGGGAGCCUACAGUACUGUAGCUCCCCAAAGUUAGUGGCGGAGUCGGUUUCACACUCUAGACGUAGUAAUUUUUUCUCGUCUGUAGUUGAGCCGGUCCCCUGCCGUAAAACACCCAAUUUAUCAAGGUUGACCUCGGAUCAGGUAGGAAUACCCGCUGAACUUAAGCAUAUCAAUAAGCGGAGGA